UGGGGAAUCUUGCACAAUGGGGGCAACCCUGAUGCAGCGACGCCGCGUGAGCGAUGAAGCCCUUCGGGGCGUAAAGCUCUUUCGACCGGAACGAUAAUGACGGUACCGGGAGAAGAAGCUGCGGCUAACUACGUGCCAGCAGCCGCGGUAAUACGUAGGCAGCAAGCGUUGUUCGGAGUUACUGGGCGUAAAGAGUGCGUGGGCGGUUUUCUAAGUUCGGUGUGAAAUCUCCCGGCUUAACUGGGAGGGUGCGCCGAAGACUGGGAAGCUGGAGUGUGGGAAAGGCAGGCGGAAUUCCUGGUGUAGCGGUGAAAUGCGUAGAUAUCAGGAGGAACACCGGCGGUGUAGACGGCUUGCUAGACCAUAACUGACGCUGAGGCACGAAAGCGUGGGUAGCAAACA
rnacentral:rRNA from 1 species